rnacentral:rRNA from 1 species
GAUGAACGCUGGCGGCGUGCCUAAUACAUGCAAGUCGAGCGAACGGACGAGAAGCUUGCUUCUCUGAUGUUAGCGGCGGACGGGUGAGUAACACGUGGAUAACCUACCUAUAAGACUGGGAUAACUUCGGGAAACCGGAGCUAAUACCGGAUAAUAUUUUGAACCGCAUGGUUCAAAAGUGAAAGACGGUCUUGCUGUCACUUAUAGAUGGAUCCGCGCUGCAUUAGCUAGUUGGUAAGGUAACGGCUUACCAAGGCAACGAUGCAUAGCCGACCUGAGAGGGGAAUCGGCCCCACUGAAACUGAGACACGGUCCAGACUCCUACGGGAGGCAGCAGUAGGGAAUCUUCCGAAAUGGGCGAAAGCCUGACGGAGCAACGCCGCGUGAGUGAUGAAGGUCUUCGGAUCGUAAAACUCUGUUAUUAGGGAAGAACAUAUGUGUAAGUAACUGUGCACAUCUUGACGGUACCUAAUCAGAAGGCCACGGCUAACUACGU